rnacentral:rRNA from 1 species
UGCGGUUAAAAAGCUCGUAGUUGGAUUUCUGUUGAGGAUGACCGGUCCGCUCUUUGAGCGCGUAUCUGGUUCAGCCUUGGCAUCCUCUUGGGGAACGCUACUGUGCUUGAUUGCAUGGGGCGGUAUUCAAGACUUUUACUUUGAGGAAAUUAGAGUGUUCACUGCAAGCGUUAGCAAUUGAAUACAUUAGCACGGAAUAAUAAUAUAGGACCUUGGUACUAUUUUGUUGGUUUCUAGAACUAAGGUAAUGAUUAAUAGGGACAAUUGGGGGCAUUCGUAUUAACGCGUCAGAGGUGGAAUUCUUAGAUUGCGUUACGACGAACUACUGCGAAAGCAUUUGCCAAGGGUGUUUUCAUUGAUCAAGAACGAAAGUAUGGGGAUCGAAGACGCUUAGAUACCGUCGUAGUCUAUACCAUAAACUAUGCCAACUAAAGAUUGGAGGUCGUUCUCUUUAUGACUCCUUUAGCACCUUAUGAGAAAUCAAAGUCUUUGGGUUCCGGGGGGAGUAUGGUCGCAAGGCUGAAACUUAAAGGAAUUGACGGAAGGGCACCACCAGGAGUGGAGCCUGCGGCUUAAUUUGACUCAACACGGGAAAACUUACCAGGUCCAGACAUAGUAAGGAUUGACAGAUUGAUAGCUCUUUCU